UACGAAGGGGGCUAGCGUUGUUCGGAAUUACUGGGCGUAAAGCGUGCGCAGGCGGCUUCUCAAGUCAGGGGUGAAAUCCCACGGCUCAACCGUGGAAGUGCCUUUGAUACUGUGAGUCUCGAGGGAGGUAGGGGCGUGCGGAACUUCCGGUGGAGCGGUGAAAUGCGUAGAUAUCGGAAGGAACACCUGUGGCGAAAGCGGCUCACUGGACCAUUACUGACGCUGAGGCACGAAAGCUAGGGGAGCAAACAGG
rnacentral:rRNA from 1 species